UACGUAGGGUGCAAGCGUUGUCCGGAAUUAUUGGGCGUAAAGAGCUCGUAGGUGGCCUGUCGCGUCGGCUGUGAAAACUCGGGGCUCAACUCCGAGCUUGCAGUCGAUACGGGCAGGCUAGAGUUCGGCAGGGGAGACUGGAAUUCCUGGUGUAGCGGUGAAAUGCGCAGAUAUCAGGAGGAACACCGGUGGCGAAGGCGGGUCUCUGGGCCGAUACUGACACUGAGGCACGAAAGCGUGGGGAGCAAACAGG
rnacentral:rRNA from 1 species